rnacentral:rRNA from 1 species
CGGGUAAAGCCCCUUUGAGGAUUGGAGUUGUUUGGGAAUGCAGUUCUAAAUGGGAGGUAAAUUUCUUUUAAAGCUAAAUACUGGCCAGAGACCGAUAGCGCACAAGUAGAGUGAUCGAAAGAUGAAAAGCACUUUGGAAAGAGAGUCAAAAAGCACGUGAAAUUGUUGAAAGGGAAGCGCUUGCAGCCAGACUUGCCUGUAGUUGCUCAUCCGGGUUCUUGCCCGGUGCAUUCUUCUAUGGGCAGGCCAGCAUCAGUUUGGGCGGUUAGAUAAAGGUCUCUGUCACGUACUUCUUCUCGGGGAGGCCUUAUAGGGGAGACGACAUGUAACCAGCCUGGACUGAGGUCCGCGCAUUCGUUAGGAUGCUGGCGUAAUGGCUGUAAGCGGCCCGUCUUGAAACACGGACCAAGGAGUCUACCAUCUAUGCGAGUGUUUGGGUGUCAAGCCCGAACGCGUAAUGAAAGUGAACGGAGGUGGGAACCCGCAAGGGUGCACCAUCGACCGAUCCUGAUGUCUUCGGAUGGAUUUGAGUAAGAGCAUGGCUGUUGGGACCCGAAAGAUGGUGAACUAUGCUUGAAUAGGGUGAAGCCAGAGGAAACUCUGGUGGAGGUUCGCAGCGGUUCUGACGUGCAAAUCGAUCGUCAAAUUUGGGCAUAGGGGCGAAAGAUUAAUCGAACUAUUUAGUAGCUGGUUCCUGCG